GACGAACGCUGGCGGCGUGCCUAAUACAUGCAAGUCGAGCGAACGGACCAGGAGCUUGCUUCUCUGAUGUUAGCGGCGGACGGGUGAGUAACACGUGGAUAACCUACCUAUCAGACUGGGAUAACUUCGGGAAACCGUAUCUAAUACCGGAUAAUAUUUUGAACCGCAUUGUUCAAACGUGAAAUUCGGUCUUGCUGUCAGUAAUAGCUGGCUACGCGCUGCAUGAGCUAGUUGGUAAGGUAACGGCUUACCAAGGCAAGGAGGCAUAGCCGACCUGAGGGAGAGGUAGCCCACCUGGGAGGUGAGGCAGGCACCAGACUCCUGCGGUAGGAAGCAGUAGAGAAUCGUCCGCAAAGGGGGAGAGGGUGACAGAGCAACGGGGCGUGAGUGAUGAAGGUGCUCGGAUCGGAAAGCUCUGUUGUUAGUGGGGAACAAAUGUGUAAGUAACUGUGAAGAUCUUGACGGUACCGGGUCAAAAAGCCACGGCUAACUACGUG
rnacentral:rRNA from 1 species